AUCCAUAGCUCUGUCUAUGAAUUUGAGAGUGGUUACAUUUCUCUAGCACCAUCCCUCAGCUUUCUACCGAAACAGUGACUGGGAAUGGCUUUGUUAUUGUUUCAACUGCUGAUUGACGCUUUAAAGGGGGUUCAGACAAUGGGCCUGAUUCACAAACAGAAAAGAAACGUAGAAAAACGUUUUAACAUAUUUUUUUAUCAUUGACUUUCUAAACUUUUCAGAAUGCUAAGGAAAUGCUACCUGUCUAUCAAGAAACAUUGUCAUUCUAUGACUCCUAUCCAAAGGUUGAUGAAAUCAAUGUGUAUGGGUUUUUGUGCUACGUUUUCUCACAGUGUGGGUUGGGAGGCCACAGUGACUGAAUAUUCAUGUCACGUUGUACAAAAACCCUCAACAUAAUUUCUAUGUUCAGAACCUUAAAAGUAAACAAGGCAACCUGACUCUACUGGGCAAACAAAUUGCGCUACAGUUUUGGUAAGUAGUUAGUUCAUUAUCUUUGCAAACAUGGCAAUAUAUCUAGUUAUUUGUUCAAUUUGGUCUUAGCCUUAGUUUUACAACUUUGAUUAUGAAAGUGUGAAAAUGUAUUUUUAAAGCUUAAACAUGUUCUAGGUUGCCUUCUUGACUCUGCAAUUAGUCCCAAACUGUACUUGGAAGUGACAUAACGCUGUAAUUAUACAAACCAGAUGUAAGAGGUUUUUGUACGGACAUGUUCCACAGUGCAUAUAAACUGACAUUUGGAAAAGCCAUCAAUCUCAUUGUUGAACCCAAUGGAACUCCUGUCCGCCCAACACUGUCCAUCCUCACCCCACUACACAAGAUAGAGAAUGAUGACCAGCCUGAGGUGUGCCUGGCUACAGGCUUCUUUCCUAGGAUUGAAAACAUGAAUCUCACCCUGGGGAAUAAUGUUACUGUCCCACGCAAAACAACCAAGGCAGCUUUAUCUUCCACACGUACCUACUUCUUUGCCGGAUUCUCCAAAGAGAAUAUCAAGCGUUGUGAGAUGGAUGGCGUCGUCAAGAAGCGCGUUGAUGAUGGUGGUUUUCCAGAUGUGUCUAACGAUAAGACCACGGCUACAACUGCUUCUGACAAUUGCGAACAUGAACGCCUCAACAAUGCUACUGCCACCAACUAUACCGGUUGGUGAUAUUUUGCUACACUAAAUAAAAACAUGGUGUAAAGUCAAUUGUACUGCAUGAUGCACACAUGUUUAAAUUUCAGCAUGUCUAAGUGUGCAAAACACUGAAAUGACGCAACAUUUGUUUUUUACAGAUUAUACCAAGAUGAACUUCACAUCCUUGGUUGUGUAUGGUUUGAGAGUGCUGUUUGCCAAAGCCGUGGCAUUUAAUGUGCUAUUUACUGUCAAGGCCCUGGUGUUCUAGGUAAGUGAAAUGAACUCUGUUUUAGUUCAGAUUUUUGACAUAAAUUGAUUAAAUGACAGCUGUAAAGAAAAAAUAUAAUAUAUAAUAAUUUGCUUAAUUGCAUUACAGAAUCAUUCGCAAUUCUAUUUACAGACCUAUUUUCACUUGGACUCCUACUAUUCAGUUCUGCUUUGCAUCCAGUUUGUGAAACCUGCCUUGUGGUUUUAUCGAGAGCUUCAACAGUAUUAGUAUCUGACUUUUUCAGGGUUGAAUGCUGCAAUUCCUCUGCUUACACUUUGGAAAUACUAGAUACUAAAUACACAUGUUAUGCAUGUGAUUGUUCGGUAUUAAACAUUAGGUUACAUUUUAUAUUCUAUAUCAUUUUAUAUUGUGUUAUGUUAUUUCUAUUGACUUGUAUUAUAUCUUUAACUGCAAGUUGUCAUCAAAAGUGUAUAAAGACGUCAAAAAUGAUUUCAAACAAUAAUGUAAUUGUACAUUGAUCAAGUUGUGUACGUGGAUACUUUGCAGUUGUUUCUAAAUGCACAAAACCUGUCAAUAGAGAAUUUAAACCACAUUUUCACCAGUACAUUGAAACCAUAUGAACAGCCAAACCAAAUGAACAGAUAAAGAUCUAUAAGACACCUUGACUUCCAAGAAAUGGCUCCAUCAGUUACUUUAUUUGCAUGCGUGCUCAAGAAGUAACAAUAGCGAGAAACACGCAUGAUAGUGGGAAACACACACUUUAUAAUGGUUGAUGAAUUGUAUUAUGAAAAUGAUUUGCAAUUACAUGUGUGUCUGAUAUCAGUCAAACAUUUUAUAAUCGUAUAUGGGAGCUGUAAAUGUAUUGAAAUAAACGACACAGCUUUUUUAUUCUAAUCUAAACCAUUAUGAACUUGAAAAGGUGGAUGUCUAUCAAAUUACUAAAAUGGUCGGAAAGUAGUAGUCAGACUCCGGUUUACCAGAAACAUUUGCUUUGGACUAAUCAUUAGGCCUUCAGAUUUAGUAGAGAAGUUCACAUUUUAGAAUAUGAGAUGAUGUUGCCCUCUGCUGGUUGUAAAUGUGUUUUUCUCCGUUGACAUUGUGACCACUAAAUCACCUGGGCUCAGUUUUUCAAAAGUUAUCUGUCUGGAUUUCGCCUAUUGGAUAGGAUUAAAUGCAUAGAAAUAGACUGACAGGAACGGGAAUCCCCAUUCAAGUCAACGAUUUGUCCGUUCUAUUCAUUCUAUUUCUAUGCACUUAAUCCUAUCCGAUAGGCCAAAUCCAGAAAACUUUUGAAAAACUGGGCCCUGAGUAUUGCUUCACUGCGUGUAUCUUAAUUGUAUUUUCUUGAUUCUUCAUGUCCUCCCUCCUUGUCUCCUUCUGGUUCCUUCUCCUCUAAUGCGUUUUGAGAAGGAGGCAUAGAGAGAUGAUGUGAGAAAAAAUGUCAUGCAGUAUUGUGUUUUCAGUUGUGUAUCUUCUAUAUAUGAUCAAUUGAACCACCGUAAUACAUUUUGCUUGUGAAUUUGAGCUUUUUGGUGUUCAAGUGUUUUAUUAAAUUAAUAAAUCCAUCAUAUUUUUCAUGUUAUUGGUACAUUUUGGUGGAGAUGCACAUGUAGUACACAUCUAGAUGCCCUAUGAGCCCUGGUCAAAAGUACUUCACUAUAUAGGGAAUAGGGUUCCAUUUGGGACUCAGCCUGAUCUUUUCUCCACCCACAUGGUCGAGUAGCCAAUAACUGGUCCUCAAAACUAUGGCGUUGAAUGUCUCAACCUUUCCUAGGUCUACCUGAUCUCUUUCAACACUGAGACUGGCACACAAGACUAAGGUCUACCUCAUGUAGGCCACAGGUGAGGCUUGGAAUUUGUGGUCUCUUCUGUGGAGCAAUGUAGGCCAGUAGGUCAAAAGUAUGUACAUUAUAUACCUGAUAUCCUGAUCAUUUCCUGCAAGACAAAGAAGUAUGAUAAAGAGAAGUAUAAAUGAGUCCUGAAUGGAAGAACAUGCCGGUAUUCAGCAGAGAGCACACCAAGACUUAAAGGUACUUUAUUUAAUUACAGUUAUCCAAAGAUCAUAUAGCAAAUAUUACACAUUCAUUUGAAACACAGUUUAGAGGUGCAAGUGUAUGUAUGUAAGGCGAUGUAAAACAAUCAAAUAAUGGUGGAUUGGUGACACUAACAGUAUUUUUUUUUUUAGAGUUUUGCAGUGUGAGAGCUUUUCCUCAGCCAAGGACUUCAUUUCUCAAAGGAACAGAAGAGCUGCAGUCAUGUAAGUGCAACAAGAGAUUUAUGUAGUUAUGUAGAGUUCUUGUAGGUGGAAUAUAUGAAAAUCACUAAGUGGAUAUUUACGCUAUCUUAUACUUACAUGUGCACAUUGCAAGAUAUAAUACUAUAAAUGAUGCAUUGAAAAAAAGUGAUGCAUUGUGAAGUAUUGUACCAUAUGUUAUGAACCACAUUGAUAUUGCUCUGAUUAUCUGAAGUUUUUAAGUUUUUGUUUUUCAAUUCUUGUAUGUGACUAUAAUACUGACUGAGAUUGCUUGGUAUAUCUUGAAUAAUGUCUUUGACUUGACCCUAAAACUGUUUUGUUGACCCUGUAGUGAAGAAGAGGAUUUGUGUACAGGAGUGUAGCACUGUGGUUGGCUGGCUCUAACAAUAAGCUGAUUUUUGGAUCUGGAGUGAAUGUCAUUGUGCAAUCCCGUAAGUAUUACUUAUUGUUUUCAAUAUUGUGUAAUUUCUCAGCUAUGUGUUGCAACAGUGGAGAAUAUAGCUCUCUCUGAAAUUCAUUUUACGUUAUUGGGAAUAAACUGUUUGUUCAAAUCUGCUCUUCUGCUCAAUGCUUAAUACUUACUACUUUUCAGUUUUAAUUUCAUAACACAUUUAGAUUUUCCUUUUCCAUGAGACUUUUCUUUUCUAAGCGGAUUUGGAAAUGGACCAUUGUCAGUACAGAGUAAUUGUCAUGGUCUGUAUCUCAGUGUGAAUGCUCAGGGGGCAGGAAAGAUACAUUUUGGGAAUGGAAUCAAAAUGAUUGUGGAAACACGUAAGUUUCAUAUUUUUUUGCUUAAUCCUAAAAAGUCAACAAAACUGUGUGUGUUCAUACAUUUUUCAUAUAUAUUUGUUUUAAAUAUAUUUUCCCGUUGGUUAAGAUGAACUUAAUAGUGAAAAGUGAAUUCAAAUAGUGACUAAAAAUAUGUAGUCAGGAAGUCAAGGCAAAUCAGGUUAUUAGUGAGCAAAAAUAUGCUGUGUCACAAGUGAAAAAAAUGUAUUUUGCACAUGGGACUCAACUGUUUGUAGAGAAAGCUGAGAUUGUUUAACAUCACUGGGACACUUGUUUUAAACAAAUACCGUAGAUAAAUAAAUAGUGAGAUACACAUAUCAGGUAACCAGUAGCCUAAGCUAACUACAGUGUUGGCUUUUGUGGA
rnacentral:lncRNA from 1 species